AGUUUGACUGCCUGACAGGUAACUGAGCGCUGCUGCAUGUAGUUACCCUUCACCUCUCCACCUGCCUGCCCAUCACUUUCACUUUAGGAUUUGGUUAAACCAGCUCUGCUGCUUCACCCACAGUGACAUCUACGCUACAAUUUAAGAGCAUGACAGACAAGGAGACGGAGACCUCAUUUUAAGCUCAUUUUUACUUGUUCCGGUCGGCUAACGGUAGUUAGCUACAGGCUAACAUGUUUAGCAUGUUGAAAUCAAUCUGGAGCUGCUUUUUGAAACUGCUCAGGUGGGAGAACCUAUUCAUAGAAGAACUGUACGUCGUACUCUUCACAAAUCUGACAUGGAACGUGACCCGUCCAGAGUCCGUACUUCCGGCUCAAUGGCCGCUGGACCCUGGGAGGAAACGCAGCGACGCAAUAGGCCGAGUUGGGUCAAGACACAGGAGUCAACAAAAGAUGGCUUCCCUGUUGUUGUGCUCACAGCGAAUUAAUUAAAGCGCCAAGGUUCAUGCCUCAACAGAAGCGGCUGCUAAAGCGCUAAUUUAUGUUACAGCUUUGCAUUUUAAAAAUUUAAUCUUUUCUCGGACAUUAAAUGAAAGUUGCUUU